rnacentral:sRNA from 1 species
AUUGCUUUUUCAGAUAAAUCUGAACAUUCUUCGAUGCUACACCAAAACUUGACAAGUGUUACUUUCUUCAAGGUUAUUAGUAUGAUGUGGAAUCUGAAGCCAUGUCUGUGACUUUUUGAACAUUGUUUCACUAAAACACAUCAGUCUCUGUUGUACUUUGAAUGGAUUUUGUGAUAUCAUGCAUGGAUUGUUUGGAAACCAUUUGCUGAGUGUUGCAGAGCUUCCAAAUGUUGGCAUAUUGCAUUGUACACUCACAAAAAAAUCACAUUCAUUUCUUUUCCUGAUGAUCUCAUUGGAAAAGUCUGUAAGUAUUUGCAGAACCAUGAAGCUCUGGUUGGCAGAUGAAAGUAUUCCACAAUUAUAGUUUUUGCCUAAAAGCCUGUAUUUUAUCAUUGACAGUAACUACUGUAAAUUGUUUUUCUCUAGAGUCAAAGCCAGGUUUGAGCCCUGGCACUCUUGUUUAAUAUGCUGGCCAUGGGACCCGGAGCUCUCCAGAGUGGUAGACUUGGGAGUGGUGCAAUAGCUGUUCACAGCUGGGAGAACAGAGGCUCAAGGUGAUGUUACAGCCUUUCGAUUAUGAUCCCAAUGAGAAAAGUAAACACAAGUUUAUGGUUCAGUCUAUGUUUGCUCCAACUGACACUUCAGAUAUGGAAGCAGUAUGGAAGGAGGCAAAACCGGAAGACCUUAUGGAUUCAAAACUUAGAUGUGUGUUUGAAUUGCCAGCAGAGAAUGAUAAACCACAUGAUGUAGAAAUAAAUAAAAUUAUAUCCACAACUGCAUCAAAGACAGAAACACCAAUAGUGUCUAAGUCUCUGAGUUCUUCUUUGGAUGACACUGAAGUUAAGAAGGUUAUGGAAGAAUGUAAGAGGCUGCAAGGUGAAGUUCAGAGGCUACGGGAGGAGAACAAGCAGUUCAAGGAAGAAGAUGGACUGCGGAUGAGGAAGACAGUGCAGAGCAACAGCCCCAUUUCAGCAUUAGCCCCAACUGGGAAGGAAGAAGGCCUUAGCACCCGGCUCUUGGCUCUGGUGGUUUUGUUCUUUAUCGUUGGUGUAAUUAUUGGGAAGAUUGCCUUGUAGAGGUAGCAUGCACAGGAUGGUAAAUUGGAUUGGUGGAUCCACCAUAUCAUGGGAUUUAAAUUUAUCAUAACCAUGUGUAAAAAGAAAUUAAUGUAUGAUGACAUCUCACAGGUCUUGCCUUUAAAUUACCCCUCCCUGCACACACAUACACAGAUACACACACACAAAUAUAAUGUAACGAUCUUUUAGAAAGUUAAAAAUGUAUAGUAACUGAUUGAGGGGGAAAAGAAUGAUCUUUAUUAAUGACAAGGGAAACCAUGAGUAAUGCCACAAUGGCAUAUUGUAAAUGUCAUUUUAAACAUUGGUAGGCCUUGGUACAUGAUGCUGGAUUACCUCUCUUAAAAUGACACCCUUCCUUGCCUGUUGGUGCUGGCCCUUGGGGAGCUGGAGCCCAGCAUGGUGGGGAGUGCGGUCAGCUCCACACAGUAGUCCCCACGUGGCCCACUCCCGGCCCAGGCUGCUUUCCGUGUCUUCAGUUCUGUCCAAGCCAUCAGCUCCUUGGGACUGAUGAACAGAGUCAGAAGCCCAAAGGAAUUGCACUGUGGCAGCAUCAGACAUACUCGUCAUAAGUGAGAGGCGUGUGUUGACUGAUUGACCCAGCGCUUUGGAAAUAAAUGGCAGUGCUUUGUUCACUUAAAGGGACCAAGCUAAAUUUGUAUUGGUUCAUGUAGUGAAGUCAAACUGUUAUUCAGAGAUGUUUAAUGCAUAUUUAACUUAUUUAAUGUAUUUCAUCUCAUGUUUUCUUAUUGUCACAAGAGUACAGUUAAUGCUGCGUGCUGCCGAACUCUGUUGGGUGAACUGGUAUUGCUGCUGGAGGGCUGUGGGCUCCUCUGUCUCUGGAGAGUCUGGUCAUGUGGAGGUGGGGUUUAUUGGGAUGUUGGAGAAGAGCUGCCAGGAAGUGUUUUUUCUGGGUCAGUAAAUAACAACUGUCAUAGGGAGGGAAAUUCUCAGUAGUGACAGUCAACUCUAGGUUACCUUUUUUAAUGAAGAGUAGUCAGUCUUCUAGAUUGUUCUUAUACCACCUCUCAACCAUUACUCACACUUCCAGUACCCAGGCCCAAGUCUGAGCCUGACCUCCCCUUGGGGACCUAGCCUGGAGUCAGGACAAAUGGAUCGGGCUGCAGAGGGUUAGAAGCGAGGGCACCAGCAGUUGUGGGUGGGGAGCAAGGGAAGAGAGAAACUCUUCAGCGAAUCCUUCUAGUACUAGUUGAGAGUUUGACUGUGAAUUAAUUUUAUGCCAUAAAAGACCAACCCAGUUCUGUUUGACUAUGUAGCAUCUUGAAAAGAAAAAUUAUAAUAAAGCCCCAAAAUUAAGAA